UAGGGAAUCUUCGACAAUGGACGGAAGUCUGACCGAGCAACGCCGCGUGAGUGAAGAAGGUUUUCGGAUCGUAAAGCUCUGUUGUAAGAGAAGAACGAGUGUGAGAGUGGAAAGUUCACACUGUGACGGUAUCUUACCAGAAAGGGACGGCUAACUACGUGCCAGCAGCCGCGGUAAUACGUAGGUCCCGAGCGUUGUCCGGAUUUAUUGGGCGUAAAGCGAGCGCAGGCGGUUAGAUAGGUCUGAAGUUAAAGGCUGUGGCUUAACCAUAGUAGGCUUUGGAAACUGUUUAACUUGAGUGCAAGAGGGGAGAGUGGAAUUCCAUGUGUAGCGGUGAAAUGCGUAGAUAUAUGGAGGAACACCGGCGGCGAAAGCGGCUCUCUGGCUUGUAACUGACGCUGAGGCUCGAAAGCGUGGGGAGCAAACAGGAUUAGAUACCCUGGUAGUCCACGCUGUAAACGAUGAGUGCUAGGUGUUAGACCCUUUCCGGGGUUUAGUGCCGUAGCUAACGCAUUAAGCACUCCGCCUGGGGAGUACGACCGCAAGGUUG
rnacentral:rRNA from 1 species